rnacentral:rRNA from 1 species
UGGAAAGGCGCGCGAUACAGGGUGACAGCCCCGUACACAAAAGCGCAUGUGCUGUGAGCUCGAUGAGUAGGGCGGGACACGUGGUAUCCUGUCUGAAUAUGGGGGGACCAUCCUCCAAGGCUAAAUACUCCUGACUGACCGAUAGUGAACCAGUACCGUGAGGGAAAGGCGAAAAGAACCCCGGCGAGGGGAGUGAAAAAGAACCUGAAACCGUGUACGUACAAGCAGUGGGAGCACCCUUUGGGGUGUGACUGCGUACCUUUUGUAUAAUGGGUCAGCGACUUAUAUUCUGUAGCAAGGUUAACCGUAUAGGGGAGCCGGAGGGAAACCGAGUCUUAACCGGGCGUUAAGUUGCAGGGUAUAGACCCGAAACCCGGUGAUCUAGCCAUGGGCAGGUUGAAGGUUGGGUAACACUAACUGGAGGACCGAACCGACUAAUGUUGAAAAAUUAGCGGAUGACCUGUGGCUGGGGGUGAAAGGCCAAUCAAACCGGGAGAUAGCUGGUUCUCCCCGAAAGCUAUUUAGGUAGCGCCUCGUGAAUUCAUCUCCGGGGGUAGAGCACUGUUUCGGCUAGGGGGCCAUCCCGGCUUACCAACCCGAUGCAAACUGCGAAUACCGGAGAAUGUUAUCACGGGAGACACACGGCGGGUGCUAACGUCCGUCGUGAAGAGGGAAACAACCCAGACCGCCAGCUAAGGUCCCAAAGUCAUGGUUAAGUGGGAAACGAUGUGGGAAGGCCCAGACAGCCAGGAUGUUGGCUUAGAAGCAGCCAUCAUUUAAAGAAAGCGUAAUAGCUCACUGGUCGAGUCGGCCUGCGCGGAAGAUGUAACGGGGCUAAACCAU